AACGCUAGCUACAGGCUUAACACAUGCAAGUCGAGGGGUAGCAGGGUAGCAAUACCGCUGACGACCGGCGCACGGGUGAGUAACACGUAUCCAACCUUCCCAUCACUUGGGGAUAGCCUUUCGAAAGAAAGAUUAAUACCCGAUAGUACUUUUUUGAGGCAUCUUAAGAAAGUUAAAGAUUUAUUGGUAAUGGAUGGGGAUGCGUUCCAUUAGAUUGUUGGUGAGGUAACGGCUCACCAAGUCUUCGAUGGAUAGGGGUUCUGAGAGGAAGGUCCCCCACAUUGGAACUGAGACACGGUCCAAACUCCUACGGGAGGCAGCAGUGAGGAAUAUUGGUCAAUGGGCGCAGGCCUGAACCAGCCAAGUAGCGUGAAGGAUGACUGCCCUAUGGGUUGUAAACUUCUUUUAUAAAGGGAUAAAGUCGGGUAUGUAUACCCGUUUGCAUGUACUUUAUGAAUAAGGAUCGGCUAACUCCGUGCCAGCAGCCGCGGUAAUACGGAGGAUCCGAGCGUUAUCCGGAUUUAUUGGGUUUAAAGGGAGCGUAGAUGGAUGUUUAAGUCAGUUGUGAAAGUUUGCGGCUCAACCGUAAAAUUGCAGUUGAUACUGGAUAUCUUGAGUGCAGUUGAGGCAGGCGGAAUUCGUGGUGUAGCGGUGAAAUGCUUAGAUAUCACGAAGAACUCCGAUU
rnacentral:rRNA from 1 species